rnacentral:lncRNA from 10 species
AAAUUGUAGAAUACACACACACACGCACACACACACACACGUCACACACACAGCACCUUAAAAUGAAUUUUCUCUAGGGAAACAACAAAAUGAACCCUGCACUUGGGCAAGCUAAAGAGCCUAUUUUCAGCCCUACUGAAUAUCAAGCAAAAGGGAGGGUAUCUGAUAAAAAAUUACAGUUGGAAUGAGGAGAUGACCUUGAGAGGACAGACAAGGGUUUAGCAUCACUUGUGCUACAGGGAUGGCAAAACACAUGAGAGCAGAAGAAAACACCAAGGAAGAGAAAAAAGGGAUGCAAAAUUUAAUUCUCAACUAAGUCAAUUAUUAGUGGAUACAAGAGAGAAAUAGACGCAAUAAAAGGAUGGGGAGAAGCUGGAGUCAAAGAAAAAGAAAGUGAAUCACAUGCUUCAUCUUGCAAAAGCCAAGAAGUAUAAUAACAUCCCAAAAAGGACAUGCAUUGGCUUGCUGGAGCCAGCUCACACAAGCUCCCUGGAUAUCCUCCCAACUCCAUGUUCCACAACUCCAGUGACACCACAAUGGAACAACACUUCAUUUUCAGUACCAUUAGCUGAAGAAGUAUUAAGGCAAGGUUGCCUUCUUAAUGAUUAUUUCAUGUGUUCUAUCCUCAGUACAUCAUUUACAAUAUUCAGGCUUGGAACAAAGUACUUUGAACUCUCCAGCGGCCAGUCAGAAAAUGAGGAACAGGUUGUGAAUAGAAGAUACAAAGGAGUAUUAGAUCUGCAUUGAUUAAAUGGUGACUACAAAUAGACUUAAAAUACAUCUUCCCAAUUAUGAAUCUCUACAGGUGGUUUUGUCCUGUUCACCCAACUGGAAUGGUUGCAUCGAAGCAAGAAAAUUUUCUCCAAAAAUUAAUACCCAGAUCUACGCCAAAAACAAAGUGAAGAAUACAGCUUCUGCUCUCACCAAGUCAUCUCUAAUAGAGAGAAGAUUUCCUUAAACAUAAAUAUCUUCAAAAUGCUUGUUCAUUUGAGAGAAAGAUACAGAAUAUUUUACAUGUGCCCUUCACUGGAAUAUUUUUAUUUAUUUAAUUCAAUAAAAAUUGACUCCCAGUUC